rnacentral:rRNA from 1 species
CCCUUAGAUGUCCGGGGCCGCACGCGCGCUACACUGAAGGAAUCAGCGUGGCUUUCUCCCUGACCCGAAAGGGUUGGGAAACCCGUUGAAUCUCCUUCGUGAUAGGGAUUGGGGCUUGAAAUUGUUCCCCAUGAACGAGGAAUUCCCAGUAAGCGCGAGUCAUAAGCUCGCGUUGAUUACGUCCCUGCCCUUUGUACACACCGCCCGUCGCUACUACCGAUUGAACGGUUUAGUGAGGCCUCGGGAUUGUGGCCAGUUUCCUUUAUUGGGAGUUGGCUGCGAGAACUUGUCCAAACCUUAUCAUUUAGAGGAAGGUGAAGUCGUAACA